rnacentral:rRNA from 1 species
ACGGAAGGCAGCAGUGGGGGAUAUUGCACAAUGGGGGAAACCCUGAUGCAGCGACGCCGCGUGUGGGAAGACGGUCUUCGGAUUGUAAACCACUGGCUUUGGGGACGAUAAUGACGGUACCCAAGGAGGAAGCUCCGGCUAACUACGUGCCAGCAGCCGCGGUAAUACGUAGGGAGCGAGCGUUGUCCGGAAUCACUGGGUGUAAAGGGAGCGUAGGCGGGUAGACAAGUUGGAUGUUAAAUAUAUCGGCUUAACCGGUAUCUGCAUUCAAAACUGUUUAUCUUGAGUGAAGUAGAGGUUGGUGGAAUUCCUAGUGUAGCGGUGAAAUGCGUAGAUAUUAGGAGGAACAUCGGUGGCGAAGGCGACCAACUGGGCUUUUACUGACGCUGAGGCUCGAAAGCGUGGGUAGCAAACAGGAUUAGAUACCCUGGUA